rnacentral:rRNA from 1 species
UUGACCUCGGAUCAGGUAGGGAUACCCGCGACUA